AUCUCUAAUGAUGAUUACCGUUAAAACUUUCUGAAUUAAUGUUGUGCUGAAAGUUAUGGAGACCUGAACUGAAGAGAU
rfam:Daucus carota subsp. sativus cultivar DH1 chromosome 1, whole genome shotgun sequence.